rnacentral:rRNA from 1 species
CCUACGGGUGGCAGCAGUGGGGAAUAUUGGACAAUGGGCGAAAGCCUGAUCCAGCCAUGCCGCGUGUGUGAAGAAGGCCUACGGGUUGUAAAGCACUUUCAGUGGGGAAGAAAGCCUUGGGGCUAAUACCCUCGAGGAAGGACAUCACCCACAGAAGAAGCACCGGCUAACUCCGUGCCAGCAGCCGCGGUAAUACGGAGGGUGCGAGCGUUAAUCGGAAUUACUGGGCGUAAAGCGCGCGUAGGCGGUCUGAUAAGCCGGUUGUGAAAGCCCCGGGCUCAACCUGGGAACGGCAUCCGGAACUGUCAGGCUAGAGUGCAGGAGAGGAAGGUAGAAUUCCCGGUGUAGCGGUGAAAUGCGUAGAGAUCGGGAGGAAUACCAGUGGCGAAGGCGGCCUUCUGGACUGACACUGACGCUGAGGUGCGAAAGCGUGGGUAGCAAACAGGAUUAGAUACCCUGGUAGUC